AGCGAACGCUGGCGGCAGGCCUAACACAUGCGAGUCGAACGAACUCAUCGGAGUUAGUGGCGGAUGGGUUUGUAACCCGUGGGAACGUGAACUUAGGGAUGGCAUACCUCAGGGACAGUUGUAAUAUUACGGAACGUGCGCUACGGGGGAAAGAUUUAUCGCAUUUAGAGCGGCACGCGUCACAUUAGCUAGUUGGGGAGGUAAAGGCUCACCAAGGCGAGGAUCAGUAGCUGGUCUGAGAGAAUGAUUAGCCACAUUGGGACUGAGACACGGUCCAAACUCCUACGGGAGGCAGCAGAGGGUAAUGUUGCGCAGUGGGCGAAAUCCUGACGCAGCCAUGCCGCGUGAAUUAUGAAAGUCUUAGGAUAGUAAAAUUCUUGCACCUGUGACGAUAUUGACGGUACCCGGUGAAAAAGCCCCGGCUAACUUCGUG
rnacentral:rRNA from 1 species